AUUGAACGCUGGCGGCAUGCCUUACACAUGCAAGUCGAACGGUAACAGGUCUUCGGAUGCUGACGAGUGGCGAACGGGUGAGUAAUACAUCGGAACGUGCCUAGUAGUGGGGGAUAACUACUCGAAAGAGUGGCUAAUACCGCAUGAGAUCUACGGAUGAAAGCAGGGGAUCGCAAGACCUUGUGCUACUAGAGCGGCCGAUGGCAGAUUAGGUAGUUGGUGGGAUAAAAGCUUACCAAGCCGACGAUCUUUAGCUGGUCUGAGAGGACGAUCAGCCACACUGGGACUGGGACACGGCCCAGACUCCUACGGGAGGCAGCAGUGGGGAAUUUAGGACAAUGGGCGCAAGCCUGAUCCAGCAAUGCCGCGUGCAGGAUGAAGGCCUUCGGGUUGUCACCGGCUUUUGUACGGAACGAAAAGCCCCGGGUUAAUACCCUGGGGUCAUGACGGUACCGUAAGAAUAAGCACCGGCUAACUACGUGCCAGCCGCCGCCGUAA
rnacentral:rRNA from 1 species